AGUGAACGCUGGCGGUAGGCCUAACACAUGCAAGUCGAACGGCAGCACAGUAAGAGCUUGCUCUUACGGGUGGCGAGUGGCGGACGGGUGGGGAAUACAUCGGAAUCUACCUUUCCGCGGGGGAUAACGUAGGGAAACUUACGCUACUACGGCUUAGGCCCUACGGGCGAAAGCAGGGGAUCUUCGGACCUUGCCCGAUCGAACGAGCCGCUGUCGGAUUAGCUAGUUGGCGGGGUAAAGGCCCACCAAGGCGACGAUCCGUAGCUGGUCUGAGAGGAUGAUCAGCCACACUGGAACUGAGACACGUGCCAGACUCCUACGGGAGGCAGCAGUGGGGAAUAUUGGACAAUGGGCGCAAGCCUGAUCCAGCCAUACCGCGUGGAUGAAGAAGGCCUUCGGGUUGUAAAGCCCUUUUGUUGGGAAAGAAAAGCAGCAGGUUAAUACCCCGCUGUUCUGACGUUACCCAAAGAAUAAGCACCGGCUGACUUCGUG
rnacentral:rRNA from 1 species